GGUUAAAGGCUAAGGAACCUUCUCGAAUCGAGGUCUUUCUGGGAAUAUUAAUUUCCUGGAAUAGAUCUUUCUGCAGAAAUCUAUCCAAUUCCACAGACCGCGCAAAUGAGAGGCAUCAAAUGAUCGCAGCCUUUUAUUCCCCCGUAAUCACGAACCACGACGAAAAAAAAAACGGAAUGCUUAAUAUUCCUGGAGAGAUGCCGACGCUCCCUGGGACACAAAGUCGAAAACACAGGAACAUCAAAAGGCUAAAGACGUGACUAACCUUCUGCCUAUAACGAAGGAUGGAGGAUGGCUCAGAGGCACUGGAACAGACGGAUCUUUUGGCAGAAGAACGACGCUUCCCAACACAGUGGUCGAUAUUCCCAUCCCGGCAAGUGGUCGGAGAUCGGAAGAUCAUACUGCUCAGUGUCUCGCUCGUGUCUCACUCACUUCUCAUCACGUCUCGUCACAUAUCGUCUCUCUGUUCCUCUUUCGGUUUCUCUCCCCGGCGACUGGUCCAUGAGCCGGGCGGCAUCUCUUCCCGCUUCUCUACAAAGUGGCGUGAUGGAUUUUCUCGAAUGGUUCAAAGCCGAUCGCCCAUCAGAGUCCCUCAGAGGCUCAAGAACUUGAGAUGGCGCUGUUUUAUGUAUCCUCAA